rnacentral:rRNA from 1 species
UGAGGAAUAUUGGACAAUGGGUGAGAGCCUGAUCCAGCCAUCCCGCGUGAAGGAUGACGGUCCUAUGGAUUGUAAACUUCUUUUGUAUAGGGAUAAACCUUUCCACGUGUGGAAAGCUGAAGGUACUAUACGAAUAAGCACCGGCUAACUCCGUGCCAGCAGCCGCGGUAAUACGGAGGGUGCAAGCGUUAUCCGGAUUUAUUGGGUUUAAAGGGUCCGCAGGCGGGCCGAUAAGUCAGUGGUGAAAUCUCAUAGCUUAACUAUGAAACUGCCGUUGAUACUGUCGGUCUUGAGUAAAUUAGAGGUAGCUGGAAUAAGUAGUGUAGCGGUGAAAUGCAUAGAUAUUACUUAGAACACCAAUUGCGAAGGCAGGUUACCAUGAUUAAACUGACGCUGAGGGACGAAAGCGUGGGGAGCGAACAGG